CAUGUUUCUGCUUGCUGUCUACUCCUGACUUGCAGAUUCUCACCUCCUCCUUUAUUAUUUUACCUAUAAAACAAAAAUGAGAGCGAGAACUGACACCACAUGGUGCUUAUCUGCUGUACCUGCAGCUGGGCCCUCCCAGAAUCAGGAUGCCAGGGAAGGAGGAGCUGGGACACGGAUUAUCACACCCCAGCAUCAGGCCUGGCACAAAGCAGCUGUAAAUGAACCUACAGAGAACAGAGAAAAGUUCGGGAGACACGAUAAGCUGGGCCCUCGAUGACACAGCUGUACUCAACUGAGCAUGUAAACACCAGAAGAAUUUUCUCACGUAACUCAGAAGCCACAGCGCGUUCUUCGUUCUUCGUCCAUAUCCGGUGACAGAAAACUUCUCUUUGCUUUCCAGCCCUAACUCAAAAAACCAGCAUGACAAGGAGAACAGGCAACAAGGAGAACAGGCUCCCAGAAGGUUGUGAGGCCAGAUGUGGUAACCACACCCCCAGCAUCUUUAACCCCAGCAUUCCAGAGGCAAAGAGGAGCUCUGCACUGAGAGCAGACCCACCUCACGCCUGUAGGAUUUGUGUCUUUGGAGGUGGUCCUGGUGAAGACUCCAUCCAAGGUAUCCAGGAAAAGGAAGAAUUGUCCAUCCUGUGCAAUUUACCUCGGGUCUCAUAUGCUACUCUUGUCCUAGAUUGAACAGAUUUAAACAGUUUUAACACA